CAGUUGUCCUGUUUGAAUCCUUUAAAUUAUCUUACAAAUAAAAUUCUGAUUAGACAUACUUACAAAAAUAUGUCUGAAUUGCAUUUUCUGCAUAAAUAGAAAGUCUUUUAUUUUAGUCUUUUUCAUGCAUGUGCAUUAUUAAUGGAAAAUGAAUGUCAUUUGAAAAACCUUUUCACCUACAUUGCAGUUAUUUUGAAAAAGCAAGUAGAUUUUAUCUGGUGUUGAGUAAAAUAAGCCAAGUUUUGUUGGUGGAUAUUUGUAUCAAAUAUGUGCCAUUUCUCACUCAUCUUUGUUUAGACGAAAAUGCAUUUCUGACAUUUAUAUAUCUUGUUUACCAGUCAUUGCUAUUUAUAUUAGUAGGCAAUGCUAUUUCCUAUUCCUCUUUGGUAUGAACACUUCAAAAGUAUAAUUUUCAGCUCAGCCACCUGUUUAUACAUUCUGUCAUGUGGCAAACAAAAAUCGUUUCUAGAACUAUUCUAAGGGAGAGAGGUGCUAGUGUAAGUGAGAUGUUUGGCAUUCUAUCCUAAAAGCAGAUUUAAAUGAGAUUUUCUUAAACUGGCUUACAGAAAUUCCUGAGAAUGCCUCUUGCUUGGCAGUGUAAUUGAGAUGCUGGUGAGUAUGAAUGGAGUAGUAGGGCCAUUAUUGAUAACUCUUGGCCCUAAGCCCCUAACUUAUAAAUAUUGAAAAUGUGUUAACAUGUAUUGAUGUUUGGUCAUGAACUCUGGGACAAUGAGAUACAUAAAGAAGGUGGUGAAUACAUAAUAAAUGAGAGAACAAAGAUUCUGCUGUUAUAUUGAUGAUGUAGUCUCCUAUGGAAUUUUUUUCACUUGGAAGAUAUAUUUUACUGCCACGUUUAUGGAAAGGAGAUAUGGAAUCUUCUAUUGUAUAGGUUUGCCAAACUAAAAAUUUACAAAAUAAAUUUCAUAGUAAGCUUCUCAGAAAAUUUGAUAAACGAAGGAUUCUGGAGAUAAAAACUUGGUCUAAUUAUCUAUAUAUAUUGUUUUCCAGCUUAACACCAGAAACCUAUUUUGGACAUUGAUUUCAAUGUGCUGUUAGGUGAAUAUAACUUCGAUGGGUCCUAAAUACACUGACAAGAGACAGACGAAAGAAUAAGAGAUGAUGCGGCUGAGACUGGAGUGGUGCCUGCCCAGCUCAAAGAAUGCACCUCCACCAGAGCCUGCAGAGGAAGUGCAGCCUUGAUGCACACUCGUUUCUGACUUCGGCCUCCAGAACUAUGUCAGUCCUAGGACUAACAAAUGAUGGUCCUUCUUCUGUCAGUCUUGCCUGUCCACUGCCAUAUUUGAGCAAUCAGACCAUACAAUGGAACUCUUGCCCUUCAUUUCGCAACUGGACCCAGGAGGGCACCAGGAGCAUAAGCAACACCUGGUAAGGAAAUGUUCUCAGGGCCUAUCUUGUUGCCUCUAUUGGGAAUUUGAAUUGUGAAAUGGGGAAAUAUGCAGUGGUUAAAAAGGAGGGCCAGAGCUGAAAGAUGGUAUGAGACAGAGUGAUGUGAGAUGAUCAUAAGACAAAGUUCUGAGGGGCAGACAUCACCAGGAGAAUAGAUUGCAGAUGUGUUGCUAGCUGCAUGAACAGGUAUAGUGAAGCAUGUAAUUGGCAAGUAAGUAAAUUAAGGUAACACCAGAACAGUGGUGUACACAUCUUGCCAUACUUCAAGGUUUUAGCCUUCUAGACACCUGUGUCCUUACAGUUCACUUCUCUUUAUACAAGAUAACAAAAGUUUGUCUCUGCUUCGUGACAUAAAGAUAACUUUUCAUUGUUUUUUUUCUAGCAGUAAAAUCAGCUCUUUAUGUGAAACUUUUUCCCUUCCUUAAUAUGUUAGAGCAAUUAGAUUCCUGCAUAGUUGAAGCACUGUUGAGAGCUGAAGUACCUUCCACAAUUUCCCCUCUGUUCUCUGCAUUUCCCACUAUCACCCACAGAGACUAUUCUGUGGCCUCUUGUUCCAGUGGCAUACACUUUACAAACUGUUCAUCUGAGCCAAAGAUAGGGAUAAACCCAUAAACAAGUGAUACACUGGGGCAUUUCUUGUUCUUUCAGUGGAGGGUUUGCAUCAUCAUUUUAUCGUGAGUCCCAUCACGAUUCUCUGGCUAUGAGAUCCCAUUCUUCCCCGACUACUCUCAUUUCUCCCAUGAUCUCAUACAAUAUCAUGAAAUUAUAUGUAGCCAUAAACUUGAUGACUCCAUUCAAUCAUUUUCCCAAAUGCUAAAUCCAUCUCUCUAGUCACCUGCCAAUGAUCUCCUUUGUAAGACUAAUAGGCAUCUCAUAAAAUAUUGGGUAAAACUAAGUCAUUAUACAAAGUAAUUUUAUCAUUAUAAUGAACUUAAGAGAAACUAUAUUCUAAUAGCUGGUAAUGUACAUAUAUUGCAUCUGGUUAUUUGGCUAAAGCAAACAUCAUCAGGAAUUUCAUUAAGGUCCAUUUUAAUUUAUGACUUUUAUAACUUUGAUAAGAUUUAAUUCAUAUAUUCCUUAUUAUAUAAAGAGUUUAUUGUUUUUAUUUUCAAGGGAGAAGUUUUUAUUCUUCUUCCCCCCAGAAAGCUUUUAUUUAUGAUAUACAAACUUUAUUCAUUUCAUAAAUCCAACUUUAGGAAUAUAGUGAUUCUUCUCAUCCUACCUGCCCUCCAACCCACACUCCUACCCCUCCUCCCUCUCCUAUUCCCAUUCUUAUUUUAUACUAAGAACUAUUUUUAAAUCAAGUUUAUACACAGAAGAUUAUACUAAGUAAAGAGUGCAACAAAUAGUAGGAAAAAAAAAACCUGUUCAUUAACGAUUAAGACAAGGGCUGUUCAAAGUCAUUGUGUUUAAAAGUGUCAAUUUCACUUCUAUAGAUUACCUUUUAGGUGCUUUAUUAGUUACCACAGAUUAGGGAGAACAAAUGGUAUUUGUCCUUUUGGGACUGGCUAAUUUUUAAAAUUUUGAAUUUUAUUUAUUUAUUUGAAAGGCAGAGCUACAGAG